rnacentral:rRNA from 1 species
AACGAACGCUGGCGGCAUGCCUAACACAUGCAAGUCGAACGAGACCUUCGGGUCUAGUGGCGCACGGGUGCGUAACGCGUGGGAACCUGCCCUUAGGUUCGGAAUACCUCCCCGAAAGGGGUCCUAAUACCGGAUAAUGUCUUCGCACCAAAGAUUUAUCGCCUUGGGAUGGGCCCGCGUUGGAUUCGCUAGUUGGUAGGGUAAAAGCCUACCAAGGCGACGAUCCAUAGCUGGUCUGAGAAGAUGAUCAGCCACACUGGGACUGAGACACGGCCCAGACUCGUAGGGGAGGCAGCAGUGGGGAAUAUGGGGCAAUGGGCGAAGGCGUGAUCCAGCAAUGCCGCGUGAGUGAUGAAGGCCUUAGGGUUGUAAAGCUCUUUUACCCGGGAUGAUAAUGACAGUACCGGGAGAAUAAGCUCCGGCUAACUCCGUG